GUUUCUGUUGAAUAAGACAAUUUCCUACUCACUUUUUACACCUAAACGUAAGGUUUACUCACUAAGACGUCAGACCAUUGACACUUCUCUCGAAGAAGGAGACCGCGUCCCCUGCGCUCUCAGAGCCGCAGCCUGGCCAACAAGGAAAGGACAAUGUCAUAUGGUUCAACCUAGCCCACGUAUAAGACUGAGAGACGCGAGGAAGACACCUAAGGCAAAGUAAAGGGAUGCCAGCUUUCUCCCUGAAAAAGUAUCCACUAUGCCGACAGUCCUUUCUUGGCUUUUUUGUGUGGUCUUACCACUUAAGCAUGAAUCCCUAAACGCUAUACUUACUUUUGUCUGUGUUUGAACUUCAUAUUGUGAAAAAAUAGAGUGGCUAUUCUUUGAUGUCUGACUUCUUUUGCCUUACAUUAUGUUUUCUUUGUUGUUGUUUCAUCUAAGUUGAUAUUGCAGCUAUAGUUUUUAC